UACGGGGGUGCGAGCGUUGUCCGGAUUCACUGGGCGUAAAGGCGCGUAGGCGGCCGCGUCAGUCGGGCCUGUAAGUGCGGGCUCAACCCGUGAUGGGCUCGGGACGGCGCGGCUGGGGCGCGGCAGAGGGAGACGGAAUGCCGGGUGUAGUGGUGAAAUGCGUAGAGAUCCGGCGGAACAGCCGGUGGCGGAGGCGGUCUCCUGGGCCGAGGCCGACGCUGGAGGCGCGAGAGCGUGGGGAGCGAACCGGAU
rnacentral:rRNA from 1 species